UAUGUGAUCGUCUCUCGCAUAUCAAUAAGCGGAGGAAAAGAAACUAACAAGGAUUCCCCUAGUAACGGCGAGUGAAGCGGGAAGAGCUCAAAUUUGAAAUCUUAAAGGGUUUCCCUUUACGAAUUGUAGUUUAAAGAAGUGUUUUCUGUUGAGGUUUUGGUAAAAGUUCUUUGGAAUAGGACAUCAUAGAGGGUGAGAAUCCCGUAUUUGACCUUUACUUUCAACUUUGUGAUACACUUUCAAAGAGUCGGAUUGUUUGGGAAUGCAGUCCAAAAUGGGUGGUAAAUUUCAUCUAAAGCUAAAUAUUGGCGAGAGACCGAUAGCGAACAAGUACCGUGAGGGAAAGAUGAAAAGAACUUUGAAAAGAGAGUUAAACAGUACGUGAAAUUGUCAAAAGGGAAGCGUUUGACACCAGUGUUGUUUUUCUGAAAAUCAAUUAAAGAACUGUUUAUGCUAAGCUGUUUAGACUUUAUCAGCUAUCUGUUUAGUUUUGAGCUUUUCUUUAAUGCACUUUCAGUUAGCAAGUCAACAUCAAUUUCUCUUGCUGUAAAAAAGCUUGAGGAAGGUGGCUUGAGAUUCGUCUUAAGUGUUUAUAGGCCUCUUGCCUAUGCAGUCGGAGAGAUUGAGGUCUGCAGCGUAGAUCCUUCGGGGCUAAAUGCAUUUGUGCUAAGUUAUAGCAUUUUAUAGACAACUUGUUGACUAUGAUUUGUCUUGUAGCUUACUCGCUUAUGUUAUUUUACCUACGCUUAGGAUGUUGAGCGCAUGUCUCUCUCU
rnacentral:rRNA from 1 species